rnacentral:SRP_RNA from 1 species
UGCCAGGAUCUAACAAAGUCUGCUUUAAGCACCGUGUCAGAGGGGGAACCCAGCAGCACACUUUUUGCAGUCUUGUGUAUAGACAUCCUGGCUUUU